ensembl:lncRNA
AGCUGCCGUGAGCCGAGGGAGGUGGGGAGGCUGGGCUGGUCAUUAGAUGCUCAGGUCUCGAAAAUCCCUCUGUAAUUAAUUUUCUCCUGCAUUAAUUAGAGAAAUGUUGGAACCAGUGGAAGAGGGAGGGAUUUGUUGCCCCUGGGCUGCUUUUCAGGGUGACUGAAGGGAGAGAUGGGAGUCUGUUGCAGAGUUGGCCGUGGCCGGGACUUUGUUGCUGGUGGGGCUGGGGGGCUGGUGGGCAGAGGAACCAAUUGAAACGAAGGGUUGCAGAGAGGGACAAGCUCGAUUUUAACUUGGAGAAUGGUACACACCUAUUCAGAGCCCGGUGCCUGUGUGUGUAUAUGAACACACACACACACACAUCACUGCUUCUCAAGCAUUUGCCCUUUGAUUCUGAAACACACACAUUUAGCACAACUCUCUAAGAACAGCUCCGUCUCCCCCCUCUCUCUUGCCCUGAAUCUCACAACCAGUCUUGCUCCUGUGCAACUUAGAGGACCCCUUUCGUAUAUCCCCUCAAACGAUUCCAUUUUCGCCCGAACAGAAGAUAUGGUCACUUUCCCUAUGAUUUUUCUUUAUUUUUAAGCAUCCAUGAGAAUGACUCCCUUACAAGUGAGUUUCUAGCUCCAUGGAAAAGAAAGCCCUGAGAAGAUUCUCAUAAAAGCCUUUAGAAUCUCCCAGCCCACAGAUUUUUCUAUCCUGAAGUCUUGAUGUGCUGAAAAUGUCAUUGGGAGGCAGGAAGCCAGCACACUUCUAGAACCGAAUGCCAAUUCUCUGGUUUUGUGAGCUGCUUUUAUGGAAAUUUGAAUUGAGCCCAGCUUCUUCUAGACUCUGGUCCCGUAUGGAUUUUAUUAAUUCGACCAAUGGUUUAAUAGCUCUGUCUGAGCUGGUGGGCUGCAGCCAACAAGAAGUAAGCCCGUGUCUUCAAGCCUGUCCCUCAGGCCAACACCUUUGGUUAAUCCUUCAAUGACUUUUCUCCCAAAGAGGGAGGGCCCGCGAGUUUCCGUCUGCUACUCUUUUUAAAGAGGUCAAAUCAGUGAAUCAGAGGUAGAGAUUUACGUUCUGGGUUCCAGUGGAGAAGUCUGCUUUACUGAUUGCUAACUAAAAUCAAUAGCUCUCCAAAAGAAAGGUGUUAUGGGAUGGAUGGACCCGCUGAUGGAACGAAGCUGGUGCCCUGAGAGGAGGGGCCUGGCCAGCUUGCCUGGGUGAAGGUGUCUGGCUGCGGAUGUCUUUCUUUACUGGUGGCGGGGGAAGGGGGGGGGUCCGAGAAACUGGACCAUGUCCCAUCUGCAACCGUUAUUGCUCACGGAAAGCACUGCUUCCUUACACCUUUCAGGCUCUCGCUUUCUUUGGAAGCACAAAGACUCUGAGGACCCCACCUCCACUCCCUGGCCAUCCCCCACAAGCCUUCCCGUGGUUGGUUCGUAGACUCUUUUUCCUCCAGUCAUAUGAUUCUUCUUUCUCUUGAAGGAGGGGUGAAGAGGGGAGAGGACCACAGAAGAAAUGAGCGGAGCGUGGGGUGUGGGUUCUUGGCAGGAAACGGGGUUGAAGGCAAGGGCCGUAAGGACAGGAUGGAAUCCCCUGGAAGCGCUCAGCGCCCCGGGAAGCGGCCGGAGCCCUUGCUCGCCCCCCUGGCCCAUCCCUGCUGCAUUCUUCACAGCAGCUGUUUCAACGCUGCCCUCCCUCCUCAGGCCUCCGAAUCCACCCCCCGUUGUUCACAGAAGAUGACGUCACCUCAGGCUCUACCAAGAGGGCGAUGCCACUGGUCCAUAUGGACUCCAAAUGGCCCGGUGCAUCCGGUCGUGCCAUUGGGAAGACCUGGGUUUAAAUCUGGGCGCUGCCGCUUUUAUGGUUGAUCGUGGGCCAUUUACUGCACCUGUCUCGGGCUCGGUUACCUUCCAUGUAAAAUGCGGUUGUCGUGGGGACAACCUUAAACAAGGCAGGGACCUUGCACCUAAACAAAUAAUAAUGAUGAUGAUGAUGAUAACAACAUGCCACCACCCACUGUUUCUGCCACGACCGUCAUCACUGCUGCCGGUCACACACUGAUUUUAUCUUCCACCCGGAACAAGAGUUUCUUAGGGUACCCCCCCCUUCCUUCUAACCUUCUCAGAGAAGGCGGAGUCCUGCCUCUUGUCAAGGGGUGACCUCUUCACUCUACUGGACGCAGUCUCCUUCCAUCUUAUCCCAAACGAUUGCCUCCGGAAUCUUCACACUGCCUCUCUUCUCCAGCAUCUCCCUCUUGGUGUUCACACGUGUUCAGCUUCCACUGAACUCCCCCAAGUGCUUCCCUUCUCAAACCGCAGUCUUUUCAGGGAUGGGUCCAGCCUGAGAAUCAUCUACGCUCACUAACACCACUUCCUGACCUCCCACGCCCCCUCUGCCGGCUGCAAUUUGCCUGCUUCCCCCACUGCUCUGCUGCGGUGGGACUCUCAGAGGUCUUCCUGGUUGCUCUCUUCCCUCCUCCUCCGUCCUUCGGGAGCAGCCGGCUCUGUUGAUCCAAAGAGUCAUCUCCAAACAUUCUCCUCCCCAGGGGUCCAUGAUUCUGCUUCUCCCUGGUUCUUCAUUUCCUUUGCACAUGACUCCUCAGCAUCUGCCAGGGUGCCCCCGGUGUCACCGCGUCUGCCCUCUCCCUGGGUGGUCUCACACACUCCCACUUCAGCCAGGAUUUUACCCGAGGCUGCCAGAUCCACGUCUCCACUUCUGACCUCUUCUAGGUUCCACACUCUCCCUUUCGGCUCCUCCUUCUUCCUCUACACCAGCCAUUCAACACGGCUGAUACCCAAAUACCAGUCAUUUCCUGUGCCUUCUUGUUUCUCCCUCCUUCUCUCCUCCAUCAAUCCACAGAUCCACGGACCUGAUGGAAUCUGCCAUCACAGUGGUCCUUUGAUCUGCUACUUUCUGUCCACUCCCAUGAGCUCUCUGCCUUUGGAGACUCAAAUUUCCUACUGGGAUACUUGAUGUGAUAGCUUUUGAACUGGUCCUUCUGGGCCCAGUGUCUUUGUAUCCCUGUUUCUCUUUCCCAUUGACAGUAAGGUCAUCUAAAAUGAGGGUGGCCGGUGAUUUAUUGUCCAAACAGAAACCCUUUUGUGAGUGAAAAGGAGUUCAAUUAAUGAGGACACGGUGGGACCAUCCUGGGCAGACAGAGGCGUGUGUUUACCCCGUGAAGAUGGCAUUCUCACCCUGCCCCAGCCUGGGAUCCAGUCUAGGGUCAUGUGUUGGAAUGGUUGCCCUGUCUCCUUAGUCUGCUUUAUUGAUUGAUUGAUUGAUUGUCUUUUUAGGGCCCCACCUGUGGCAUAGGGAGGUUCCCAGGCUAGGGGUUGAAUAGGAGCUGUGGCCACUGGUCUGCUCCACAGCCGUAGCAAUGCCAGACUCGACCUGAGUCUACGACCUACAAUGCAGCUCGGCAAUGCCGGAUCCUUAACCCACUGAGCGAGGCCAGGGAUUGAACCUGCGUCGUCGUGGAUACUAUUUGGGUUCUUAACCUGCUGAGCCACAAUGGGAACUCUGAAGAUGACUUUCUGAUGAAGUCCUUUUGCAGUUUCAGAAUCUCACAGCAGCCGUAACAACGUGUAAGCUUCUCAGGGCUCCCUCCUGAUGUGGCCUCCCUGGGAUUUCAAUCUCGCCUGCCCUCUGGGCUCUUAGGCACCUGACUGUUCGGCCAUCCCAAAUGCUGCAUCGUUUUCCAGAAGCACCUUUGUCCUUUCUGUUCUCUGGCCGGUGCUCUGACAGUUCCCCUGCCUGGAAGCCUCUCUUGCAUCACCCUCGCUGUCCUUCACGGCUCCACUGAAAUGCCACGCCCUCCCCAAGCCUUUGCCACUACCGGGAGUUAGAAUGAAUUUCCCCCUCUUCUUGGUUCCCACGGCGCGCUGCAGAAUCGUCCACAGAUGCCCAACGCCAGAGUCACCUGUGUAGACGGCCUGAAGCCUGGGCACCUGCAUGGGGGGGCCGGUCACGUUCUUCUCUGCCUCCCAGAUCCCUAGCACCCAGUCCCUCUUAGAGUGAAGAGGCGAAUGAAAUGUUCUGAGCACCUGCCCUGGGCCGGGCAUCCCCAUGUGGCCUCUCGUUCUGACUCUACAAAUCUGCCCGACGGGUACCGUCAUGCCUCCCACCCCCACACUUCCUUUUUUUUUUUUUUUUUUUUUAAAUGGAAGAAAGAGUUGCCUGAGAGAUUAAGUAAUUCACACAGAUGACAAGUAAUAGAGCUGUAUUUCCAUCUCUCUCCCCUGUAGAGAAAAUGCUUUCCAAGCAGAGGCAUGAAUGACUUCCAGUCCUUUGAUCUUUCCAGGCACCAGCCUAUUUCUAAUGUUGUUUUUAUCGAAUGACAUUUAAGGAGAGCAGGGUGUGCAAUGGUGCCAUUCCCACUGGACCCUCAACACCCUCUUCCUCCCCCAAAACAAUAACCGGAUACUUUAGUCCAGGGGGACUCCGAGUGAGAUAUGCCUGGAGGUCCAUCUUAGGAAAAUAAGUCAAAGACAGGCAGCCUUAAUGGAGAGUGGAGGUGGAGCUGAGAGUUGGGUCCAAAUACUUUCUGUCUUAGUGAUGAUGUGAGAGAUUUUAUAAGCAAAAUAAGCUAGUGAAGCUUGGGAGUUCCCAUCGUGGCACAGCGGAAACGAAUCUGACUAGGAACCAUGAGGUUGCAGGUUUGAUCCCUGGCCUCGCUCAGUGGGUUAAGGAUCCCGCGUUGCCAUGAGCUGUGGUGUAGGUUGCAGACUCAGUUCGGAUCUGGCGUUGCUGUGGCUGUGGUGUAGGCCAGCAGCUGUAGCACCGAUUAGACCCCUAGCCUGGGAACCUCCAUAUGUCAUGGGUGCGGCCCUAAAAAGACCAAAAAAAAAAAAAAAAAAAAAAAAGGCUAUUGAAGCUUUUAAAUUUGUUAAUGCAAAAUCAGUUUUUCCUCCCUUCUUCCCUUGUCACCAGAAGGGUGGCAUGAAUCUCUAUAGAAAGUUGGCCUUACCCAGGGCCUGUCUCCUGCACUCACCACCUGGAUUCAGAGUCGGGAGUAAUAAUAAGUUUGAAACGCGUCAGGAGAGUCAAUACGCAGAAACAGAAGAGGACUUGGGGAGAGCGUUUGGAUUAUUGGCUUUUCUUUCCAGACUCGGGCCAUUUUGCCCUUGGUGGUUCUCAGCUUUCCAUCUGAUUUGGUUGUAAAAGUGGCAAGGACGUAAAGGCACAAGAAUGUCACUUUCAUCCUAGAACCUCCUCGCACGUCACUAGGUCUGAUGUGCAGGCAGCUCGGAGAGGCCGUUCCUGCCUCCUGGACAAGUGAUCAGGAUCUAAAACGGAGCCGAGAUGGACAAGG